AAUAAGUGUGGUUUUACACUAUUUAUCUUUAACGUUUCAUCGUUUAUUUUAUUUGAAUAAAUUUUAUGAUUACUAUUUUUAUUAUUAUUAGAUGAUAAAAUAUAAAUAGUACUUUAUGUGUGACUAAUUUUUUUAAAUUUUUAAUAAUUUUUUUAAAUAAAACGGACUGUCAAAUAUUGGACACAGAUUUUCACGUCUGUAUUUAUU
rnacentral:pre_miRNA from 1 species